rnacentral:lncRNA from 1 species
CUUUAUCCCUAGAAUCAAUUCUCUCAGCAUCACCAAACUGAAUUGGUGAAAUAGUGCUAAGAUUCUGGGCAAUAGGAAGAUUAGUGAAUAUGAUACAUUGAUUCCAGGGUGCCAGGGAUUGGCUGACAUUAAGGACCAGCUGGCUAUGGUCCUCAGGCUACGGUCCUCAGUAUUCUAGUAUUUGAGUAGUGGAGGUAAAUCCAAAGGCGACUGGUUAUAUUUUACUUCUAAAUGUGUGCUGAAGUGUCUCUUGUUCAAAAAUUCUUGAUAUUUAGAGCUUCAAGUUACCACAUUUAAAAGUAAAGACUUGGCACGGUGGCACACACCUAUAAUCUUAGCACUUUGGGAGGCCGAAGUGGAUGGAUCAUAUGCAGUCAGGAAUUUGAGACCAGCCUGGCCAACAUGGUGAAACCUCAUCUUUACUAAAAAUACAAAAAUUAGCCGGGCGUUGUGACGCACACCCAUAGUCCCAGCUAACUCCGGAGGCUAAGACAAGAGAAUCACUUGAACUUGGGAGACAGAGGUUGCAGUAAUCUGAGAUCACUCCGCUGCACUCCAGCCUGAGUGAGAGUGAGACUGUGUCUCAAACAAACAAACAAAAAACAAACAAAAAAAUUUGCAUUGUAAAUUGUACCUCAAAUUUGAGCAGUUUUUGUGUUUGUGUAAAUUAAAGUAAAAAGCAGUCCACAAUAAUGUUUUGUAAUACUGCACACCAGUUCUACCAGAUUUUGUAACUAUCAGAUUUAAAUGAAAAAAGAGAAGGAAGAGGCUGAUUGCUGGAGUGUUAAAGAAAUCUUGGCCGGGCGUGGUGGCUCACGCUUGUAAUCCCAGCACUUUGGGAGGCCGAGGCGGGUGGAUCACGAGGUCAGGAGAUCGAGACCAUCCUGGCUAACACGGUGAAACCCCGUCUCUACUAAAAAUACAAAAAAAAAUUAGCCGGGCGUGAUGGCGGGCGCCUGUAGUCCCAGCUACUCGGGAGGCUGAGGCAAGAGAAUGGCGUGAACCCGGGAGGCGGAGCUUGCAGUGAGCCGAGAUUGCGCCACUGCACUCCCGCCUGGGCCACAGAGCGAGACUCCGUCUCAAAAAAAAAAAAAAAAAAAAAAGAAAUCUUUAGAAGCCACAGGGCUAGAAGAGAAGUCACCAAACACCUAGGGACAGUCCUAGGCCUAGAAAGCCCUUUAAAGUAAUAGUGAAUUGUUUUAAAAUUAAGUUAUUGAGUGGCCUACUGACUACCAUCCAAAAACCUUUAUCACCAAAUUUGUUCAGUGUUUGCUAUUGGGAGAUUGUCCAUAUCCCUCCGUAAUUAAGGGCCAGCAAGUAAUACGAUCUUCUUACAGCCAACCUUGCUCUUCCCAAAGGGAGAAAGUAAUACAUCAUUAACCUGGAAUUUGUGAUAUAACAGGUAGCCUUGGUUAAUGUUUACCUUUUCACUAUGUAAAAAAGAAAAAACACACAGCAAAUAGUGCAAAUAAAAUUUGGUCUUUUAAAGCAUUUUAGCAGUAGCUAUGUAAAAAAAGUUAAUGGUUAUUAUUCCUAAAUUUUCAUAAGACCCUUGGUAGACAAAACUAUCGGUUAUAUUAUGUAUAUAUGAGGUUAGUUAAGCUGCAUUUAGUUAGGAACAUUUAAUUUUUACCUAAAUGAUCCUUUUUUCAUCCAGAGGUAGAGAUUUUAUUGUCAUUAUGAAUGUUACUCCCCAUUUAGUCCAAAAUAGUGAGCUUUUAAGUUGUGCCAGGUACUUAACAAUAGUAAAAGCUAUUGUAUAGAUUUUUAUUCAAUGUGACCUAUAAUACAUUUCUGAUUCCUUCUGUAUUGAAUGUCCCAGUUUCCAUAUUAAGUGCUAUGCCCUGUAUAACAUUAAUGAAUUUAAUAGUGUACAAUUUUGGGCCAGGCAUGGUGGCUCACGCCAGUAAUCCUGGCACUUUGGGAGGCAGAGGCAGGCAGAUCACCUGAGGUCAGGGGUUCGAGAUCAGCCUGGCCAACAUGGCAAAAUCACAUCUCUACUAAAAAUACAAAAAUUAGCCAGGCGUGGUGGUGCAUGCCUGUAGUCCCAGCUACUCAGGAGGCUGAGGCAGGAGAAUCGCUUGAACCCAGGAGGCGGAGGUUGCAGUGAGCCGAGAUCAUGCCAUUGCACUCCAGCCUGGGAGACAGAGCAAGACUCUAUCUCAAAAAUAAAAAUAAAAAAAAAAUUGCGUGCAAUUUUGUAUUUUCAUAGUCGUAUCUUUUUAAAGGUAUCAUGAUUUCAGUUGUGGUCAGGAAGUAUGUGCCUUAAAUCCUCUACUCUAGACCCAAAGUUUGGAGAGCUAUAUUAUUUAAUAAGUUGUUUGUGACAGCCUUGUUACCUUUUUCAUUUGAUUUGAGGGAGAAAGACUGUGAUCCUGACAGAUUCCUUCUCAUAAAAUGGCCUAAUGUGUAUCAGUCUAGGACUUCUGGGGAGGGAACCUCUACCAUGCAUUCUGUCCCAGGAUGUCAAAGUCAUAAGAAUCAGGGUCCCCUGAAAUAAAAUCACUGAAAAGAUAUGUUCUGUUAUAUAUUAUUUAAAAAAUUUAUCUGGUGCCACCAAAGAAUGACAGCAGUUUCUAACCAACUUCAUAUUUAUAGCAUCUUAUGAAGAUAUUGUAAGGCUUAGCAUAUUUUGCCACUGGUUUUCUUUGUAAUAUAGGUUGAAAGUGAGACAUGUUUGAAUACUUUUGUAUGUAAAUAUCUCCCAUUCUUUUUCUAUCUCUUCUUGGUCUAUAUUUACUAAGAAUUGAUAUUUAAAAAACAGUUCACUAAUGAACUCUACAUAUUAUUGAACACUCACAGGGCAAUAUUGAUUUGGGUGCUACUAGACUUUUACCUAACAUUAGUCUUUCUCAAUAGUUGUUGUAAAGGAUAGUAUUCAAUCCAGUAAAUAUUAAAGUGUAUUAGUUUAAUGAAGGUUAUUUAUAUACUGUCAUACCACAAACCUAUGGUGGAAAGAACAUCUGCAUUCACCAGAAUGUACUUGUUCCUUUGGCUGUGAAUAAAUUGGAUAAGACUUU